rnacentral:lncRNA from 1 species
GCGUGCGAAUGUGUGAGCAUGUGUGAGUUCCUGCGUGUGUGACUUCAGGCGUGUGUGUGUGUGUGUUUGUGUGUGUGUUGGAAUGGGGGUGGGGGGCGGUCCUGGAAAGGCCGAGAGCCUUGGAAUCUGAGGAGUCUGCAGCCCAUUCUUGAUACUGCUUUACUUUCCAAAAAGUUAUGACAACAAAACCACCCUGGGGCCCAGACCUGGAAGCCGUCAGCUAUGGAGGACCCUGGAAGCAGGCAGAGAAAGGUUUGGAGUUUUCAGUGCGAUGACACCAGCGUGCCUGCGGAAGUGGCUGUGUCUCCUCUUGCCUCCUUCCCCACCCAAUUCCGCCCCAGGAGCCCAGGGAUGGAGGCCCAGGAGACGGAUCCCACAAGAGCCAGCACCCACUCCACCCCAGUUUGUGUUUUCUAGAACCCCAUAAGAUUCGGAUGCAGCCAGUGGGGGACAGGAACUUCAGCAGGGGAAGCCGCAGCCCUGGGUGUAGACCCCAUCCACUCGUGCCUGAUGCAGCCCUCCUCUCAAGGAAGGGCGAGCUCACUGAAGGGGACAGGUCACAGGUCAGCCCAAUUCACCCUGAGCACAGAAAUGCACACUGCAUUUAGGACGGCCGGAUUGCUGGACCAAACCUGUCUCUCUGUCCCCUGCACACAUAUGCACAUGCGCAUGCACAGAGACGCAUGCUGAACUUCUACGGAAGAGGAGAGCGGUAGGACCAGGCUCUCCAGGGUCCUGCCUUGGGGUCUCUCCCCACAACUGUGGCAUAAACCUCUCUCCAGAAACAGAGGGCCUGAUAACCCGUCAGCUCCCCAGAAUCCGAAUCCUAAAAGGCUCUCCCCAGGGUUCGUCCGGCUUCAGCAGAGACCCUUCCCACCCAGGCCGGAGCCCUGCAUUCAGUUGCCAGGGACACCGUGCAGUACGGCCCCCAGCAACCUGAAGACAUCAAGGUCCCAUCCCCCUGCUUCCAAGCUGCCAACCUUCCUCAUUUCCUGGGUGGUGGGUAAGGGGCAGGGGGCAUGGGGCAGAAAGAGAUCCUCCCCCUCUCUUGGGGCUUCCUCCACCAGCCCCCUCCCCACUGAAGCUCCCUUCUGAAGGAGGCUGGAGAGCUGCUGCGGAGAGAGGAGCCCAUGUGGGAUGCCCUCCCAACACACACAGGCUGAUCACCUCACCAAAUCCUUAUUAAAACCAUCCCUGUUCAAAGGCAAAAUCAGCCAACCACCAGUGUCCCUCUGACCUAAUGUCCAGCAGGGCAAGAGCUCAAUGCCUGGAUGUCACCUCCAGGGCCUCAGCAACUGUGCAUCUCUGCUCAGGCUACCAAACAAAACACCCCAGACUUCGUGGCUUAAACACAGAAAUUUAUUUUCUCAUAGUUCUUAAGGCUGGAAGGCCAAGAUCAAGGUGCUGGCAGGGUUGAUUUCCGUGGAGGGCUCCCUGCUUGGAUUGCAGACGGCUGCCUUCUGGCCGAGAGCUCACGUGACGGAGACAGCGCACUCUCUGGGGUCUCCUCCUGUGAGGACACUAAUCCUAGCAGAGCAGGGGCCCACCCUGAGAACCUCACUUAACCAUAACUAUUUCCUUAGAGGCUCCAUUUCCAAAUACAGCCACCCUGAGGGUCGGGGCUUCCACAUCUGAAUUUGGGGGAGCACAAACAUUCAGCCUGUGACAAGGAUACCAACAGAUGUCAGCCACCACAGCCAGGCCUUGUGACCCAACAGGAGGCUGCGGUGUCCCUGGGCAUCGCUGGGGCAUGUCUCAAAUGGGUCUAAACCCAGUCUCUCUGGCUGAGAGCAGAGGUCUGAGAGGCUCAAUGGCAGGAAGGAGCCCAGUUCAGUGGGGAGGCAGAGAGCACGCAGCCUCCCUCCUUGGCGGGGUUCGGAUGCUGGCCAGCCUUCAGGGCUGGCCGGCUGCUGCCCAAGGCCUCCCGCUUCUCCAGGAAGGGCCCUCCCUUGCUCUCUCCCUCUCUGCACUCACCCCUUCUCCCUCUCCCUACACGCUUUUCCACUGUGAGACUGGAACAUCAUCGGGACAGCCCAGAAUGUCCUCUUCCCCUGCAGGAGCUCAGCAAACAUCCACAGAGUGAACAUUCCAAGCAACAUAGUCCAGGAGCCACGUUCCAGCCAUGGGGCCUCUGCACUGCUGUUCUCUUCACAUGGCCUGCCCUUCCCCCAGAAAGAGAGAAGAGGCCCUCUCUGGUUGUCCCAUCAAAACUCCACCCUUCUCUCACCCUCCUCCCAGCUGUAUCCCUUCUCUGCAGCCCUAACAUGCAUUCCACUUUAUUUCCCUUGUCUACUGUCUGCCUCUCUAACUACUAAGUCAGUUCCAGCCGCUCCAGGAUUUUUGUCUUUUCAGUUUAGCCCUGGUUCCUCAGGGCCUUAGUGACUAGUGUGUAGUGCCUAGCAGCCAGUAGAUGCUCAAUAACUGCUUGCUGAUUGACUGGGGUGAGCUCCCCAUCCAUGGAGCUAUUUCAAGCCAAGCCUAGACGAUCUUUCAGGGCUAGUUCUAACCUAAGACUUGGUAGUUCCAUGACUCUCUUCCUGGCCCAGACCGAAAAGGAACUUUCAGCAGGAACCCGGGACUGGGAUCUGAGAUGGGGCUCCUUGGAGGACUCUGACUAGGAAGAGAGACGGGAGGCCGCACCAAAAACACAAGCCCUUCAUGGGUCUCCCAGGCGUAGGUCUGGGGAAUCCCCCAGGCCCCUCAGGAUCGACCCUGCUGGCCCUGGAUCUCCAGGACGCGUCCCUCUGACCUGCCUGCCCGGCCUGUGAGUCCCCGGCAGCAACCGCUGCAGACACAGGCUGCCCAGCGCCAGGGCCAGGCCGGAUUAUCAUACAUUAAGACAUAAUUACUCUGCGGAAAUUUACAAUACAAAGCGCCCUCCCCAAGUUGGCUUCAGAAGGAUUCCAAGGAUACAAAGACCUGCUGUGUCUGCCACCGACCCAAGCUGGCCCCAGCCAGAAUUUCAAAAGAAGUGGGUGGGUUAGUUUUUGGAAAAACCCCAUUCUACCCUCCAGGCAGAAGCCCCGCCCCAAGGGUAGAGCCCUCUGAUACCCCAAGCCCCACCCAGAGGGGAGGGUCCCCUCCACCCCGACCAGCGUUGCUCCUAAACCACUCGGGUUCCCCCAAGCCCAGAAGCUCCAAGCUGACACCACCAAGGUCACCCCACUUCUCCCAAGUUCUCUCUUUUUAGACUAUUUAGGCCUAAGGGCAGAAAGAACCUUAAAUCCCAAGAUGCUAGCUUUUGACCUGCAGAGAGGUGUGGCAGCCCACUGACAUUGAUUAAGCGCCUGCUGUGUGCCUGGUACUGUGCCAGCAUCAGGAUGCCACAGAGAACAAGACAAACCAGAUCGCUGUGCUGGGGGGAGCUUACAGUCCAGUUGAGGAGACGCAGUAAGAUGCUAAAAAAAAAAAAAAUGCACAUCAGGUGUGCAGGAUGGGUGAGUGACCGGGGUGCACGGUGGCCAGAGAGCCUCAAAGGUGGCAUCUGAGCAGAGGCCUGAAUGAGCAAGAGAGACUAGCCUGUGCAAAGGCCCUGAGGUGGGGCCAUGUGUGGUGAGGGGUAGUGGAGGCAGAGAAUGCUGGCUUUUACUCUCAAGAGGGUUUCCAGCAGGGAAGCUGCCUGAUUCGGGGGACACUUGGCCUGCUGUUCUGUUAGAUUCCUGCAUCUACCACCUCCUGGCCCUGGGAUGCUGGGCAAGUCAGUUAGCCCUUUAAGCUUUUGUUCCUCCCUGCAAAAUAAAAACAGUAACCACAGCUAACACACGCUUGUUGCACAGAACAAGACAGAGAAAGUCGGGAAAGGGAGGGCCAUGCAUGUGAGGGGCGGGGGAGAAGCUCUCUGAGCCUUAGCUGCCCCA